AUGAACGCUGGCGGCAGGCCUAACACAUGCAAGUCGAACGGGUCCUUCGGGAUUAGUGGCGGACGGGUGAGUAACGCGUGGGAACAUACCCUUUGGUACGGAAUAGCCUCGGGAAACUGAGAGUAAUACCGUAUGUGCCCUUCGGGGGAAAGAUUUAUCGCCAAAGGAUUGGCCCGCGUUGGAUUAGGUAGUUGGUGGGGUAAUGGCCUACCAAGCCGACGAUCCAUAGCUGGUUUGAGAGGAUGAUCAGCCACAUUGGGACUGAGACACGGCCCAAACUCCUACGGGAGGCAGCAGUGGGGAAUAUUGGACAAUGGGCGCAAGCCUGAUCCAGCCAUGCCGCGUGAGUGAUGAAGGUCUUAGGAUUGUAAAGCUCUUUCACCGGAGAAGAUAAUGACGGUAUCCGGAGAAGAAGCCCCGGCUAACUUCGU
rnacentral:rRNA from 1 species